GACGAACGCUGGCGGCGUGCUUAACACAUGCAAGUCGAACGGAAAGGCCCUGCUUUUGUGGGGUGCUCGAGUGGCGAACGGGUGAGUAACACGUGAGUAACCUGCCCUUGACUUUGGGAUAACUUCAGGAAACUGGGGCUAAUACCGGAUAGGAGCUCCUGCUGCAUGGUGGGGGUUGGAAAGUUUCGGCGGUUGGGGAUGGACUCGCGGCUUAUCAGCUUGUUGGUGGGGUAGUGGCUUACCAAGGCUUUGACGGGUAGCCGGCCUGAGAGGGUGACCGGCCACCUUGGGACUGAGAUACGGCCCAGACUCCUACGGGAGACAGCGGUGGGGAAUAUUGCACAAUGGGCGGAAGCCUGAUGCAGCAACGCCGCGUGCGGGAUGACGGCCUUCGGGUUAUGAACCGCUUUCGCCUGUGACGAAGCGUGAGUGACGGUAAUGAGUAAAGAAGCACCGGCUAACUACGUG
rnacentral:rRNA from 1 species